rnacentral:rRNA from 1 species
GACAGAGGGUGCGAGCGUUGUUCGGAAUGACUGGGCGUAAAGGGCUUGUAGGCGGCCAAUUAAGUCAGACGUGAAAUCCCUCGGCUUAACCGGGGAACUGCGUCUGAUACUGGAUGGCUUGAGUUCGGGAGAGGGAUGCGGAAUUCCAGGUGUAGCGGUGAAAUGCGUAGAUAUCUGGAGGAACACCGGUGGCGAAGGCGGCAUCCUGGACCGACACUGACGCUGAGGAGCGAAAGCCAGGGGAGCAAACGGG